rnacentral:rRNA from 1 species
UACGUAGGUGGCAAGCGUUGUCCGGAAUUAUUGGGCGUAAAGCGCUCGCAGGCGGUCCUUUAAGUCUGAUGUGAAAGCCCACGGCUCAACCGUGGAGGGUCAUUGGAAACUGGAGGACUUGAGUACAGAAGAGGAAAGCGGAAUUCCACGUGUAGCGGUGAAAUGCGUAGAGAUGUGGAGGAACACCAGUGGCGAAGGCGGCUUUCUGGUCUGUAACUGACGCUGAGGCGCGAAAGCGUGGGGAGCAAACAGG